UACGGGGGAGCAAGCGUUGUUCGGAUUUACUGGGCGUAAAGGGCGCGUAGGCGGCCACUGCAAGUCAGUUGUGAAAUCUCCGGGCUUAACCCGGAAAGGUCAACUGAUACUGCAGGGCUAGAGUGCAGAAGGGGCAACUGGAAUUCUCGGUGUAGCGGUGAAAUGCGUAGAUAUCGAGAGGAACACCUGCGGCGAAGGCGGGUUGCUGGGCUGACACUGACGCUGAGGCGCGAAAGCCAGGGGAGCGAACGGG
rnacentral:rRNA from 1 species